CGUUUGCUAUAGCCGCUCUUUUACAUAAUGAACCACAUCAUGGAAGUUAGUGUUACUAGGUCCAGUUGUUAAAUUUUAUCAAUCCGUGAAAGCNNNAAUAUGGUCACAUUAUAUUAGAGGUUAAUAACGUGCCAGCAGCCGCGGUCAUACGUUAACUAAAAGUAAAAGUAAUUAGAGCGCUUUAAUUGUCGAUAAACUCAUUUUUAGUGAAAUAAAAUGAGUGUUCCUAAUACCUUCACACUUAUAAAGAUAAUACAAAUGCUGAUACCAAACAGGGAUUAGAUACCCCUUUAUGCAGCGAGCAAAUUAACGUUCUGGGCACUAUAAUUAACAUGGUUAAAACCUACAUGGCAUGGCGGCAGUUGAAAUAUUCAGGGGAUCUUAUGUCAUAAUUGAUAGCCACCAAGUACAUCAACAAUAAGUUAUAUCUUACAUACCGUCGUCGCCAGAUGAACUAAAAUAGCUCAUCGAAAUAUAAAAUUAGAAAAGGACAGAUCAAGGUGUAGAUUAUCUUAUUGCGGUCACGAGAUACUAUGAUAGUUACCCUCACUCACAGGUUUUAACACCCGGGUGUGUCGGACUUGAAAGUAAUACGUAUUAUAAAUACCACAUGAAUCCUCUUCAUCUGU
rnacentral:rRNA from 1 species